rnacentral:rRNA from 1 species
UUGAUCCUGCCGGAUCAGUGGCGAACGGGUGAGUAACACGUGAGCAAUCUGCCCCGGACUCUGGGAUAAGCUGCUGGAAACUGGCUGUCUAAUACCUGGAUACGACGCGCGAAGUGCAUCUUCUGCGCGUGGAAAGAAUUUCGGUCCGGGAUGAGCUCGCGGCCUAUCAGCUUGUUGGUGAGGUACUGGCUCACCAAGUGCGACGACGGGUAGCCGGCCUGAGAGGGUGACCGGCCACACUGGGACUGAGACACGGCCCAGACUCCUACGUGGCAGUGCAGCAGUGGGGAAUAUUUGCACAAAUGGGCUGCAAGCCUGAUGCAGCAACGCCGCGUGAGUGGACGACGUGCCUACGGGUUGUAAAACCUCUUUCGGCAGGGAACAAGCCGAAAGUGACGGUACCUGCCAGAAACAGCACCGGCUAACUACGUGCCAGAAGACGUGUGUAAUACCAUUAAGGUGCAAAAGCGUAGUCCGGGAAUUAUUGGGCGUAAAAACUCCGUAGGCGGAACGCGAUAUAGUGGAAACCCCAAGCUCACCUCAGAGCUGCAGAGGAGAACCACGGACAACAGAUGGGAACGGCGAGACUGGACAUCCGGAUGUAGGGGUGGACAGCGCGAUACCAGAAGAACAC